rnacentral:rRNA from 1 species
UGGCGCCCCUGUGGAGUUGUCUUUUCCAUCUGACAGCUGGAGUGUGUGGGCUAUCCACUGACAUGCUGCAUGGCGACAUAGCUCUCUGCUUGGCAAGAUGGUGCUGCAUUGGUACCAUUGGACUUACGCGUGCCCUGCUCUGAGGGUUUGGCCUCGGCCGACCCGGAAUGCGCCAUGCCUUUGGUGGCCACCGACUCCAUGGAACGCCCUGCAAAGUUGUGCAACAAAGCGUGAACCCUUGGUGACCAAACCGGGACAAGCCCCCAUCUGGGGGCUCUGAUCCGAUUGGAAUGGCUCCGUACCGAAUCACCGCAGCUGGUCUCUUCGGCUAGACGCCGCUGGUCAACAGUGCAAAUGCAGCUAAGGGAAAUCGGCAAACUGGUUGUGUACCUUCGGAAGAUGCGGUGGCUCCAAGGGCCAGGGUGUCAGGCCUGCCCGUCGGGAUUGCACGGAACCCUCCGGGGCUUGGUUGUCCUGUGCCAGGGCUGGCUUCCCAGCCGUCCUCUGGCCGUGGGCGUCCAGGCCCCACCGUUUUCCCGUGGGCGGGGAUUCCGUGGCACCCACGUGUGGUCUACUCGGAACUGUGUACUACGCAGGGGAAUCUGACUGUUUAAUUGAAACAUAGCUUUGCGAUGGGACCUGCUGGCUGGUUCCGCGAGGUGACUUCUGCCCAGUGCUCUGAUUGUCAAUGCAAAGAGAUUUAGCCAAGCGCGGGUAAACGGCGGGAGUAACUAUGACU